rnacentral:lncRNA from 1 species
UUUAUGUUAGUUGAGUAUAUAUGUUAGACAAGUGGAUAUAGGUAGUAUAGAAAGGCAAAUAUAACAAGUAAAUUAUUAUAACAAGUUAUUAAAGCAGGUAAGUAAUUUUUUAAGUUAUUAAAGCAGGUGAGUAAUAAUAACAUAUUAAAGCAGAAAUAUCGUGAGUUUGUUUUAAUAUGGUGUACAGUCCUACUCAGUACUCCCUCCUUCGUUGUCCUUAGUCCAAUAUAAGUGUCCAAGUCAUAAAGGUCCAAGUGUAUUUUCUCCCAAUAUAUUUUAUUUUUUAUUUUUUGAUUUAUUGUUUUUUUUUAUUUUUUUUUAAAUUUUUAUACCUUGUCCAUCUCUUUCUCUUCAGUUUUAGGUAUAUUAACAAUAUCUUCUUUAAUCAAACCCCGGGAGGAUAAAACAGUCCUUCUUUCAAUCUUCUUCGGACUUUCCAAAUCCCUAGAAAUUUACAGAUUAAUCCAUCGUUAUUUCUAAAACGCUGAGAGAAUAACCAUAUACUGAGGGUAUUUUUAUAAGUAAUUUACAAAUUUUGCAAGAUCAGGAAAAUUGUCGGAAAAUCGCCGGUAAUUCGGAUCUUAAUAAUAAAACAUAUGUGAAAGAAAAUAUAAACUUAAUUAACUCAAACAUAAUUUACAAACUUGGGAGAAAAUUACAAAGAUCUAUGUAACUACUACUUACAUGUCUUAAGGAAGAAGUGAGGUUUCCCUUUCGGGAGUCCCCUGAAAACUUGACGGCUAUCGAAAAAUGAAAAACUAAGAAAACUUUUCACACUUUUCACACACUUUUUUUUUAAGUAACUUACAAACUUUGGAAACUAAGAACUUUAAGAAAAGCUAAGAACUUUAUGAAAACUUUUUCACUCUUGAUUUUUUCUC